rnacentral:snRNA from 1 species
AGCUUUGCGCAGUGGCAGUAUCGUAGCCAAUGAGGUUUAUCCGAGGCGCGAUUAUUGCUAAUUGAAAAAUGAUGAAACAUUCUUGCUCUAGAAAGGAAAAGUAGAAUUCAGAGGAGAGAAAAUAACUUUUUACCUACACUAUCUGUAGU